AGCAGUAGCCACGGGAAUACGGAGGGUGCAAGCGUUAAUCGGAAUUACUGGGCGUAAAGCGCACGCAGGCGGUCUGACAAGUCAGAUGUGAAAUCCCCGGGCUUAACCUGGGAACUGCAUUUGAAACUGUCAGGCUGGAGUCUUGUAGAGGGGGGUGGAAUUCCAGGUGUAGCGGUGAAAUGCGUAGAGAUCUGGAGGAAUACCGGUGGCGAAGGCGGCCCCCUGGACAAAGACUGACGCUCAGGUGCGAAAGCGUGGGGAGCAAACAGGAUUAGAGACCCCAGUAGUCCCUGUCUCUUAUAC
rnacentral:rRNA from 1 species